ACGCACUGAUCACAGGUUGCCAUCCAGACAUAUACACCACAGACAACUAGAGAUCCUUUUUCAGGGGUGAUUCGCGAAAGACUGUUUGGGUGAGAUUACUUUGAGGAAGAUUCGGAAAUUGUGCAAAAGGAUCAUUUGUAAGAUUGGUAUCUUUGGAUCGGUGUUCAGAUUGGACGGCUGGAGAGGGAUCUGUUUGCAGGUUUUUCCACUGGUUCUCCUGGCAAUCUCCCACAACCACAACCCUGUGAGCAGCCUCUGGGCAGGUCGUGGCCUCAUGGCCCCUGGAAAAAUGACCUCACCAUUCCCGAUAGGCGCCCACGGUGAUGUCAAAUAGUGGGUUGCUGGUGAUCGAUCCCUGUUUGUCCAGCAAGAA